rnacentral:rRNA from 1 species
UGGGGAAUUGUUCGCAAUGGGCGAAAGCCUGACGCAGCAACGCCGCGUGCGGGAAGACGGCUCUCGGGUUGUAAACCGCUUUCAGCAGGAACGAAAAUGACGGUACCUGCAGAAGAAGGUGUGGCCAACUACGUGCCAGCAGCCGCGGUGACACGUAGGCACCAAGCGUUGUCCGGAUUUAUUGGGCGUAAAGAGCUCGUAGGCGGUUCGGUAAGUCGGGUGUGAAAACUUUGGGCUUAACCCAAAGCGUGCAUCCGAUACUGCUGUGACUUGAGUUCGGUAGGGGAGUGGGGAAUUCCUAGUGUAGCGGUGAAAUGCGCAGAUAUUAGGAGGAACACCGGUGGCGAAGGCGCCACUCUGGGCCGAAACUGACGCUGAGGAGCGAAAGCGUGGGUAGCAAA